rnacentral:rRNA from 1 species
UUGUCUCAAAGAUUAAGCCAUGCAUGUCUAAGUAUAAGCAACUUGUACUGUGAAACUGCGAAUGGCUCAUUAAAUCAGUUAUCGUUUAUUUGAUAGUACCUUACUACAUGGAUACCUGUGGUAAUUCUAGAGCUAAUACAUGCUAAAAACCCCGACUUCAGGAAGGGGUGUAUUUAUUAGAUAAAAAACCAACGCCCUUCGGGGCCCCUUGGUGAAUCAUAAUAACUUAACGAAUCGCAUGGCCUUGCGCCGGCGAUGGUUCAUUCAAAUUUCUGCCCUAUCAACUUUCGAUGGUAGGAUAGUGGCCUACCAUGGUGGCAACGGGUAACGGGGAAUUAGGGUUCGAUUCCGGAGAGGGAGCCUGAGAAACGGCUACCACAUCCAAGGAAGGCAGCAGGCGCGCAAAUUACCCAAUCCCGAUACGGGGAGGUAGUGACAAUAAACACUGAUACGGGGCUCUUUCGGGUCUCGUAAUUGGAAUGAGAACAAUUUAAAUCCCUUAACGAGGAACAAUUGGAGG